GUAACAACACCAGGAAUAGAUCUAAUCGGCUAUGUAUAAAAUAAGUAAAUUAAAUAGCAAAAUAUAAGGAAAGCCGAAACUGCCGAUUCCUAGCUGGAUAACUGGUGAUAAAACUAGAAAGACAGGUAAAACCUAUGAUUCUAGUAAAUAUCGAUAACUGGUGAAUAAAUCUAAACGAAACAACAGCGAUGCGCCCGAAGUUAAGGCUUAGAAUUUACUCGGUAAACAGAACUUACAAGAUCGGCUGGAGAUCAAGUCGAUGCAGCCCUGCCGACCUGUACGAACUCGUGAAAAAGGAGAAAGUAUUUGGCGAAGUCGCCUGCUUGAAAGUAAGUACGAGGAAAUAGUAACUUGUUGUAUUGAGUAGUUGAUGAUUACAGAUCUACAAAGGUAGCUAUUUAUAGCCCCGUACAGAUGACUUCUUAACCGACUAGAACUCUAUCUCUAAUUCAAAUAGAAAAGGAAUAUUUACAAUCACGAUUCGUACUAGGUUGGUUAUUAUACGCUUCAUGGGCCGCCCCUUCAUCCUUCUAUUCCUCUUCAGGCCCAUACCGACCCAAUUACUCCAACCUCCUAAUCGGCCGAUUCCUCAUCGGCAAAAGGUAACCGAUCGGGAACCUGGCGUGUCCGAUCCGAACCCCAAGGGUUAAGCGAAGCAGAAGUCAUCGACCGAUCCCGCACUGUAGCAUCUAGCCGAUCUUGGACUUUAGCGCCAACGAACCGAUCUCGAACUGUAGCGCCAUUCAGCCGAUUUCCAACUGUAUUUUUCCAUUUCCUCUUUUCCUGACGCCGAUUUCAAUUGUGACGAAAUCUGGCGUCAACACGAUCACAUAAGUCUGAUCGGCCGGUUGCCAUAGACUUCAAGAGGAUCACCAUCUCCUGGUCAGCUGAAUAGUCAAAUUGACUGGCACGCCCGCGCACACCACGCACGCCGAUUUACAGGACCUGCAUCGGAAUGAAGCAAAUCUCCCAGACCUUUCGUGUGUUAGUACGCGAAGGUUACCGUCCGAUUUUUUGCAUCAACAGGAACAUAUGUAGCAAUCACUGAGCUGAGUAGGGAUGGCAAAAAACAAUCAAGCCUGUUCCACAAACGUGUUCAUCAGAACGAAUUCUCAGCCCGUGGCCCUGUGCCUCGUGUUCUCGCUAUGCCCAAAUAUAUAGACUUAUGAUAAUAUACACGUGUAUACUGUCAAUUAUAUUACUUAUUUUUCUUAUCUAUAUGAACUCAAUCAUUACUCAAAUUUAGGACCCUAUUGCACUAGUGUAACAUGCAAAAUCCCACGCAUGAUAUAGUACCAGGUAGUAAACCGCCCCUAACCGCUAUCACCACGUACUCCCUCCAUUCUGAUAGUACUAUUUCUUCUUGGCACAAUGAUCAAGGAAAAUAAUCGUACCUAUCAUCCUACUUAUCAUCCAUUUUAUCAUGCCAUUAACUAGUCAUCGUAAACAAAUAAUUCAUUAAGACCUAGACUUCUUGAUGCCCAUGUAGCAAAUCUUGGCUGGAAGAAUGAAGAGUCACGCAUCGGACCCGAGGCAACCAUUAAAUGGGUAGAUAGUUGGAUUGAAAUAAAACUAUCAAAAGAAAUUUUUUCAGAUUUGAAAAUAUGCGCAAAUAGAGGGUGUACAAUGUUUUCAUGCAUCCCAUCGGAAAUGUCCGCACUCUCGUUGUAUUCAUACCACUAGUUUUAGGGUGGAUGACGAGUAGUUUGUGCGUCAUUAUUCCAGUGAUUGCUUCGUUUGCUUGCUAAGGACAUGUGAAAAUCAGAUGUUCUGGCCAACCUUAUAUAGUUGGGUUGUCGGCACUUCGCUAUAAGAGCGUACAUGUCAUAUGUAGAAUAUAUGAAGUAUCAUAUAAACAGUAAUAUAAUAAUUGCAUAAAUAUGAGUAAAAUGGCGAUAAUUGCCUGACUAGCUCUUAAAUAUGAGUUAGAUCUGUUCUCUCUCUCUAGGAAAAAUAUUGACAUAGUAUUUCGUAACUAGUUGAAGCUAGUUCUUACUCGACCAAGGCUAAUAAUUGUGGCCUUGAAUUCAAGAGAUGUAUAUAACUGCAAGGCACAGAUUUGAAAGAUAUAGUCGAUUUAUCGCUGUCUAGUACAUCACAAAUCAGGACCGCAACAACUUUGGAAGAAUGGAUGAUGGAGAUUAGAGAUAUCUGCGAUAUGCGGAAGAGAAUGGCGGGUAAAGGCAGACCUUCUCGCAUCUUCGAAGAGCACGCAGCGGCGGCCACCACUUCCAGGGAUUUCAUCGCUCUCCCUCCGUUCUCUCUCUCUAUAUGACGUAAUUUCAAUAGUAGAGAAACCAGCAUUAUUACUGGUAGAGAAAUGAGUAUUAAAACCUCGUAUAUCUCGUUUUUUCCAACCGGGACUAAAGGAAUUUGCGCAAAAAAUAUCAGAAAUUCCCAGAAGGCUCCACAAGUCACGCGAUUUUUCAUACAAAAUAUGUGCGUGCGCGGUACGUGUGAUUCGAACCACGAUCUCAAGCCUCGUGCAUAGCUUCCUUACCAUCUCACCUACGCAGCACAUCUAAUUGAGUAGGAGAUGCAAUCCUUUUGUAGUAACUUGUGGGGCCCCCUUAGUCCCGGUUGGUAACACCAACCGGGACUAAAGGUCACCCUAUUACCAACUGGGACUAAAGCCGUCGGAGACUUUAGUCUGAGUUUGUAAUAUCAACCGGGACUAAAGGUAUCUCUACGGAUGAGCUUUUUAUUGAGGAUCACUUUUAGUCCCGAGUCCAAAAGCAAUCGAGAUUUUUGUUGAGGAUGAAAGGUCUUUUUUCUACCUGUAUUUCCUUGUUUCCAAGUAAUCAACAGUGGCUAUUUCUUCUCCAAUCGCUUCGUCGUAGAAAAUGAUCCUAGGUGAGAUCAUGUCAUUUAGCCGGUGUAUGAUCGCGAUACUAAAUUGCCGUGCUAUCGUUAUGUACCACUAGUUCGGGGCGGGUGAUGAGUGGUUUGGGUGGCACACUGGGUGGCCCCAAUCAAUAAGCUAGGAUUCCUCAUCUGAUGAGACGAGCAUUAGAAACUAGAGAGGCAACUUCGUUCCAGUGACUGCUUUGUUUUCUUGCCAAGAGAUUGUGAAAUGGGCAGUUCAUGCCGGCCUUACAUAUAGUUGGAUUGUUGGCACUUAGCAACAAGCAUACACUGCUGGGGAAUCCACCUUUAGUACCAAUUCCAAACUCCCCUUUAGUACCAGUUGUGCAACUAGUACUGCUAUAUCGGUACUAAAGGGUGGUCCUUUAGUACCGGGUCAAAUAACCGGUACUAAAGGGGUAUUAAAAAACUAAAAAAGAAAUCCGCUGACCGGAGCCCCGGCCGCAACCCGCCACCGUCCGCCUGAGCGUCGGAGCCCCAGCAGCACCCCGUCGCCGUCCACCCGAGCGCUAGAGCUCCGACGGCAGAGCACUUGAGCCCCGCACCGAAGAGAGAGAGAGAGAGCCACCCUUCCUCCUCAUCACCGUCGGCCGCCCUUCCUCCUCGUCAACCGAGCCUGGUCCCGGCCCUCGUCCCCGCCACCUCGCCUCCUUGCAACCCCCUGCCGGCCCCCUCGCCUGGCCAGCCGCCCUCGCGACGCGCUCUGCUGGCCCCCUCGCUCUGCUAGCCACCCUCGCCCAGAGAGAGAGGUGAGACCACGCACCUCGUCCUGCCACACCAUCACCCUUUAGAUCCCGUUGCCCCCGCAGCACCUCCACGCUCUCCCACCAUGCCAGCCUGCAGAUCCCGCUGCUCCACGCGCCAUCGCCCGCUACUGCUCCACGCACCAUCGCCCGCUGUAGCUCCUUGCACUAUCGCCCGCCACUCCGCCUCUAUGCUCCCCCACCGUCGUGCUAUCGCCUCACCUCGCCCCGCCACCGCUCCUCACAAGUCUCGCGGUGAGGGGCUCGCGAAGGGGAGAGGGGAGGGGAGGGGUGUGCCUGGAAGAAUGGGAGGAAGAGAAGUGAGGCUGCCAUGAGGGGAGAAGGGAGAGAGGAGGGUCGUUCGGGAGAGGGAGGCGUGUGGAUAAGACGGUGAGAAGCAGACGCGUACGAUGGACUUCAAUCUAGUGAAGUCCAAAUUAGUACCGGGUGGAGGCUUAGUACCGGGUGAAGCCUCCACCCGGUACUAAAAUCCCUCAGGCACAUUAGUACCGGGUGGUGGCUUCAAGCGGUACUAAUGUGCUUUUAGUACCAGGUGGAGGCUUCACCAGGUACUAAUGUGCAACCUUUAGUACCGCAUGAAGCCUCCACCCGGUACUAAAGGGGUUCACGGGAGCCUCAUCGGGGACUAGCCGUUAGGUUCGGUACUAAUGCUCACAUUAGUACCGGGUCAAAAUGCAACUGGUACUGAGUCUCGUUACGAAUGCUCAGUUUUACAAUAGUGAUGCAUGUCAUAUGUAGUCGUCAUUAAAACUAUUCAUCUAAAAUGAUUUAUCUAUAGUCUCAUUAAAAUGCUUGCAUAUGUAUGAGUAAAAUGGUGAUAAUCGCAUUGUUUUUUGUUCGAUUAGUUCUUAAACAUGAGUUAUAUUAGCUGUGUUAUCUCUGUACGUAGGACAAAUAUUGGCAUAUACUAUCAUGUAACUCGUUGAAGCUUCUCCAUCUCAGACGCCCUUGAACUGUUAAAAAAAAUCGUGGUCUUGAAUUCGACAGAUGUUGCGGCAUCACAUCAGUGAAGCUGAAAUUCACGUGCAGUAGCUGUGCUAUUUCAGCUACUGGCUAUUCCUGCCGUUGCAACAUUCAUGGAACACAUGGCAAAUUCUUCUAUAAAUUCAGCGCUCCACACAGCUGUAGGGUUGCAUUGCUACACUUGUACUGAACUUUGGGUUAGGUACUUCUCUACACACAGCUGAAGCCUCAUCUGGCAGCCAUGCCCAUGAGUAUAGAGCAAGGUCUCCACAUGGCAAGAGGGAGCGGAGAAACUAGCUACACUAAGAAUUCUAGGAUUCAAGUAAUAGCUCUCUCCGUCUCUGUCUCUGUCUCUUGCUCUCUCCCCACCACCUGAAGUUCUUUUUGGCAUGUUUGGAAAGGAUAUUUUGAUCCAAACUCCAAAAAUUUACUUCAAAUUCUAAUUCUAAUUAAUGGAUCAAAACUCUUAUCCAGGUGUCAGUGAGUCAAUUUUUUAUGAGUGACUAGGACGGUAACAUUUUUCUAUUUGCAUGGAAACAGGAAAAGGCUAUGUUUCAGAUUAAACCACUCCUUGAGGAGGCCACGAGAGAAGUAUACACAGCUCUUCACCCUCGAAUCAUGGUCGUGGCUGAUUUAGGCUGCUCUUCGGGGCCUAACACAUUGCGCUUCGUCUCAGAGGUGAUCAGCAUCAUAGAUCGUUAUUGCAAGGAACUUGGCAUACCGCAUGACCACCCACAGCUUCAGUUCUUCCUGAAUGACCUGCCGGGCAAUGACUUCAACAACCUCUUCGAGUUGGUCGACCAGUUCAAGAGAUCAACGACAAUAAAUCACGAGGAAGAGGCACGGCCUCCAUACUAUAUCUCUGGGUUACCAGGCUCUUUCUACACCAGGCUUUUCCCUUGUGAAAGUGUUCACCUCUUCCACUCUUCGUUCUGCCUUCAAUGGCGCUCUCAGGUAUGCUUGCAAGAUGCAUUUCGUACAUGUCCAUGCUUUUUAUUAUUUUUUAGGUUUUGAAACGACCUAUGGUUGUUUUUAGACCUAAGUGUGUUUUUAAUAACGUGUACACAUAUGUAGGCACCGAAGGGACUCAAGGGCACGGGAAAAACACUCAAAGAUAAAGGAGAUAUUUACAUCACAAAGACUACAUCACCUUCGAUAGUAAAACUGUUUCAACAGCAGUUCCAAAAGGACUUCUCCCUCUUCCUCAAGCUGCGCUAUGAAGAACUCGUUUUUGGCGGCCAAAUUAUUCUAACAUUUAUUGGGAGAAAGUAUGAGGAUGUGUUCAGCGGAGAGUCCAAUCAUCUCUACGGAUUGCUUGCACAAUCGCUGCAAUCCCUUGCUGAUGAGGUAAAUUUAAAUUAAUUUCAACCACUAUCUAACUAUCUUGUGUAGCACAAUAUUGAACUUUGAUCUUAAUAGGGCCUUCUGAAGAAGGAAAAACUUGAUUCCUUCUAUCUACCAAUCUAUUCGCCAUCAGUUGGUGAAGUGGUGGCUAUAGUGGAGCAAAAUGGGCUGUUCAACAUGAAUCACGUCAAAUUGUUUGAGACAAACUGGGAUCCUUAUGAUGACUCAGAGUGUGAUGUUGUGCACGACAGUUUUAGGAGCGGUGUGAAUGUCGCCAAGGUUAUAAGAGCAGUAAUGGAGCCACUGGUUGCUAGCCAUUUUGGAGAAACCAUACUCGACACAUUAUUCAAAGAGUAUGCGCACCGUGUUGCCAAACAUCUUGAGAAGGAGAAAACGAAGCUUGCGGUUAUUGUCCUGUCCAUGAAGAAAUUAAAUCAAUCUAGAUAUCCAAGCAUCGUGCCUUAAAUUUUGUUGUUUCACUCCAACUAGUUGCUACCACGCGCUAUACCAGUUAUCUAGAAAACUCAAUAAUAUGCAUGUUUGUGUGUAAUGUGCUGCUUGUUGUGGUGCUGUUUAUUAUCUUCAUCAUUGUUUGUCGAGCUACAAUUUAAAUAGUAAAGAUUAUGUACUCUGUCUAUUUGUUGUCUUCAUUAUGGUUAAGCUAGCAUAGCAGCAGAUUUGUUUCAGCAAAAUCUGUAUGUUCGGAUUUAUUCAAGAUCCUCUGGAAUUUCUGGGCCGGGGUUUGGGUUAAAUCUGUGUCAUCCUGGUAUAGAUGCAUGAAAAAUUCAAAAUCAAACGAUGGCUGCUGGCUCAUCACACAGUGCAAACGGGAGGGCACCAUAACCCUUCCAUAUAUACUUGAUGUGUGACUGACGCUGUUUGGCACAACUUCCAUGUUGUUGUGUGCACCUGAAAAACUAGAUUGUAUGUGCUGGAACGUUACCAGAUACUAUGUAAAUUUCCAGAUGAAAACAAAUAAUGUAGUUGAUAACUUGAUAUUUCUAUCAGUGUGCAGUGUUAGAUUAGUUAAACUCCUACUGGAUUUUUGUGUCAUGUAUAUGGCUGGCUUGAUUUCUACUAUCUGUAUGCAUGUUUAACUUGUCAAUCGCCACCUGUCAUACACUGCAAUGAUUCAAUAUUAGUGGGGUUUCUGCUAUUUCCGUUUGUUUGAACAUAGGGAGAUUUUAGUCUGACCAUCCAUCCUGAGAAAUCAAACAUGAAAAGAAGGGAAGUACCGUGAAGUACCUAAGGAGAAGUACUAAAUCAAACAUGGAAAGAAGGGAAGUACCGUGAAGUACUUAAGGAGAAGUACUAAGAAAUACCAAUUUGGUGGAACCAAGUACCAAAAUAGUGAGAAAUUAAUAUGAUGCUCUUUUAAUUAUGUAAAUCUACUUAAUUCUUUUUUAAGCAAAAAAAAAGAAAGGAAAAUACCUGCAAGUACCACCGGUACUUUAAAACAUUGUAACAAAGCUCUUAUUACUUCAUAAUAAUUCACUGUUCAUAUACAUGACAUUUUGAGGUUAAAGUACGAUCUCAAUAAAUCAUAAAUCACUUGCAAGGGGCAUAUACUCUAGUAAAUAACCUGCACAAUUCUAGUAAAUAGAUUAUCAUAUGGGCAGAAAGGCUAGAUUCUAGUAAAUCACGUUCAGCUUCAUAUUUUAGUAAUCAUUCAUAAAUUCUAGUAAAUCAUAGGUUCAUAGCUGUCAAAUAUAUAAGGGCAGCAAGGCAUAAAUAAUUAUAGUGACUUGUAUUCAAGGACAUAGAUUUAAAUCGUUAAAAAAUUCCCGUAUAAAUCAUAGUUUCCAAAUUCACAAGCACUAUAUAUAUUCUAGUAAAUCACAAACAAAGGCAUAUUUUAAAAUAGUGAGAGUAGUUUGCAUGUAUAACAUCUUCCAUACGGGUGGGCUUAUGUUUCACUACCAUCAUGUACAGACACCAUAUCCAAAUUAUCGUCAAUAUACAUCUGAAUUACAUGUUUAGCUUAUUGUCCAUCCAAAUUAUCGUAAAUUUGGGCCUUCAGUCCAUCCAUAAGACGUACUAAGACAUCCACAACAACAAGACGGGCUAUCGUAGCUCUCACCAUCCUCAUGUUAUACAUUCAAAUUAUGGUAAAUGGCCUUGAUCAUGUGUCUACUCCUGUUUUCAUCAAGUUAUCAUAAUUGAUUUAGUACAAAGUGCACGCCGUUCCAGAUUUUUUUCUUCAUCGUUCCUCCAUUUUUAUAAUUGCACUGCUCCUAUAAGAUUGCACUACGGAGAAAUGGGCGGGGAGAGCCUUCCUUCCUUCCCCUGCUGCUCGCGCAAGUCUCCCGGUGGGCAGGGCAGGGCACGUCGUCCCGUCCGCCUCCCUCGCCGCGCCGGCCCGUCCGUCCACCCAGCCGGCAGUGGCACGACAGCUUGCUGCUGCACCUGCGCUGCGCAUUCAUGGCUGCCAAUGGCCGCUGCCUGAAUGCCUGAUGCCCCAAGCACAAAGUCACUUCUCCCCCGCCUCCCUCCUCCAUCCGGGACAGAGUAUUGCUGCUAGUGGUAAUUAAUUAGAGCCGUGUGCUGCGGUCAGUGUCUGGUAGUAGUAAAACUUGAUUACCCUUUGCUUCGAGUCUUCGACAGCCCGGCCGUGGGCUGUGCGUGCUCAUGAGCCGCCGUGGCCCGUUGGGCAUGCAUCCUGCCACUGCUGCUGUCGCUGAUGAUCAUAGCAAGCAUACCUGCCUCGCCAAUUGUCAUGUGUAGCCGUGUACGGGCGAUCAUUUCCUCAACUUCCAACUUGCACCAUCCUCGUAGAGCAGCCAGCAAUGGUACGUAGCAGGCUUCGUGGAUUUCAAUCCAAGAAAGAAUUGCCACCUACGGGACCCAGCCCAUCACAGCAGCACAUAUAAUUACCAUUUUUUACCUUGUCUAAAAAAAGAAAAGCCUGCAUGUUUACAUGCGUAUCCAUUACCCAGCAGCGGCUCCUCUCUCCUCUGUACUGAAGAUUCAUUCAGACAUUGGCAGGCAUUAGGUUGUAUUUACCUGUAUGUAUACUAUGGGUCUACGGGCCUGCUACGUGUAUGAUCUAGCAGGCAGCUCGCCUGUGGGCGCCGCCGGCCCUAGCGAGUGAAGGGUGUCAGCUAGGGUUCCUAACCCUAGCUGCCCCUGCACCUGGUCCCCUAGGCCUAUGUAUGGUUGUAGCAUGUGCUCUUGUAUAAUUAAUCUAAUCUUUCCUCACCUAAAUAUCUCUUUCAUGGUAUCACGAGUCUAGAUUUCAGUCUUAGGUCUCUAGCUUCCACUUUUCGCGCGACAUCCGCGCCUGCUCUUCCAUGGCUGGCUCCCUCGGCACUCCUGUCGCCGCCCCUGCUGACGCCUCGGAUGCCCCUGCCGUCGCUCCUAGCGCCCCAAGCGGGGCUGCUGCCACCGCCCCCGCUGCCUCUGAGCGCAACGCGGUGCAGCACGAGGCCGCCGCCGCCGCCGUGGCUGCCGAUGCCUGUGCUUGCAUAGAGGCCACCGAGCGCGUCCUCACCGCCGUCGUCGCUGCCCGCGAGGAGGCUACAGCCGGUGAGCAGGCCGCCAUCGCCGCCGUUGCCCGUGAGCAUGAGGUGCUGAAGCGCGCUCUCGGUCCCCCUCGCCCCGACGACGACCUCGACAACGCCCUCCUCCGUCAGGAAGCUGCUCACCUCUUGGCGCUCCAUGCUCAAGCGGUGGCUGUCCAGAACAUCCGCGCCCUUGUCACUGUCAUCCUCGACGUCAAGACCGGAAACUACACACGGUGGCGCAGCCAGUUUCUUCUCACCCUCGGCAAGUACUCGCUGUCCGGCCACAUCCUCAACGAUACCAUCUGCACCCAUCCCGGCUAGGUUCGGAUGGACUGCGUCGUCACCCAUCCCGGCUAGGUUCGGAUGGACUGCGUCGUCCUCAUGUGGCUCUGCGGCACCAUCUCCGACUGCCCCCACAGGCGGGCUGCCUGCUAGCUCAUACAUGUAGUAGGACCUAAUAGCAGGCUUUUGUGGCGGAACCACCUCGGAUUAACUUAAUUAAAGCACGAUUAAGCCGCUUGACACGCGACACUCAUGCCUUAGUCAAGUUAGCUCGAAGUGCCGUCAGAUUUCAUCCGAUUUAACCACUUAACAGGACCGAGUUAGCAUGACCCACACGAAGGUGAGUGGUUCCAGAGAAUACAACAGGUCUACCAUUAGAUUAACAAGUUGUUACACACUCGGUUAUAAAUCAGAGUUUUACAAGUUCAGAAGAAAACAACAGAAGAUAAAAACAAAUCGGAAGCUACUCGUCGGGGUCGGACGUCCCUGGUGAGGCCAGCCGGGACAUCAGUGAUCCCAUUCCCCGCCGUCCGAGGAAGGAUCCCACUCGACCGUCCAACCCGGAGGGAGGUGGGGCGGCCAAGUGCCAGCAGCAAGCUCUGAAGCUGCAACUUCACCUGAAAAGAGAAGCCACAAACAAGGCUGAGCUUCUAAGCUCAACAAGACUUAACCGACCGCUGACCACUUCACCACGUCUAGACAUGCAAGGCUCUUUUGGCUGAGGGGGUUUUGUUUGCCAAAAGCGACUAUGUUGGGUCCUUAUUUUCAAUUUUUAGCUCAGAUUCUAGUUCAUUAACCAGUCUAUGUUGGCAACUUACUCUAAGCAAGCGUAGAUCCACUUUAUGUAUAUAAGCUCAACAUCAAGACCAUGUCAUCAUCAGACUCCUUCAUUACUCAGUGUAGUAUUAUGAUCAAGCAGUCUCAAACUGUGAGAGGCAGACGAAUCGAUUCGAGUUCUUUAACCAUGCAUGGUGAACCUAACCUCACGACAUCCGCGCACCACCGAGGGUCGCUUCCUGUGUCAGCCUUCCCCAUCAAUUCCCUAACCCGUGUUGGGUCCACUUCCUUUGGUGCAAGGUUCCACGGACCCGGCCUCUGCCGUUCUGUGACUACACUUGCCACCACAUGCGGCCGCAGGGGAACUUCGUUCCAAGGACAGUGGAGCGGCCGCUCACGUUUAGGUUCAAUCAGGUACUAGGCUUCCCCAUCCCAUACUGAGUAUGAGGUUAGUACUUUCAAACACUUGAUCACGAACACCACUACUGUCGGGCCUUAACAGAUUCAGUAAACAGACGGGGCGAUCAGCCGACCACCAAAAGAGUUAACCAAAACCCUGCCCCAUCCGUCGUCCUUAUAGUUGUAACAGAAGGAGAAACAACCAACUCCUAUAACUCGCGAGUGAUAGGAAAUCACUCGAUUUUUAUCGAUUCCUAUUUAAGCAUAGCAACUACUCGGCCCAACAAAUUAGUGUUCAGAUCAAAGGAACUAUGUCAUGCAUCUAUGGUUGCAAACAACUCCUAUACGUAAAUCACAAACACGAGAAGGAAGGCAUGUGCAAGCUUAGAAAGUUGGGUUCAUGCUUCAGGGUUUGCCUUCAAGCGGAGGGUAGGAGAACUGGUCUUCAGCUAGGGCUGCUUCGGCUUCUGGAGUUGGCAGCUUAGCUACAGCUCCGUCUUCGGGCACCGGGUGUAGCUCGUAGACGCCAUCAGCGAGAUGUAACUCUAGACGAAAAGGAUACAGCCGAGUCCUCGGGCGAGGCGGAUAAGGGUCGGCUAACAGACAGGGUCGGGCGAGACGAAAAAAGUGGUCGGACGAAAUAGAUAGGGUCGGGCAAGACGGUAAGGGUCGGCAGCUUACCUUUAGGUUUAUAGGUGAAGCUUCGGGGUCGGGAAGGAACAGACUUGGGCGGAAGGACUUAAGCACUAAGGCUUGGGCAGCGGCGAUGUCCGGCGAUGCUCUGGCGGCGGCGGAGCUUCUUGUGGGCAACAAGGAAGCUCUAGCACAGCGCGAAGGAGCAGGCGGUUGGGUGGAUUGGAGAGAAGCGGGUCUGAGCGGAGAAGGGAACUUCUCAAGAGUUUCAGCGGAAGUGCUUAGGUGCGCUCAGAGUAAGGGCGGCGAAACAGCAAAGGCGAAGGAACUCUGGUGGAACUCUGGCAUUCCCUUUUAUAGCUGCGCGGAAGAGAGAGAGAGUUGGAGCAGCAUGAAGACCGGGAAGAAAAAGAUGGAGUGCGCUGCCAUGCCGGCAAUUGAGCGGCGAUGGGCUACGGAACAAAGCUUCGGAGAUGGCAUCUUCGCCCAUUGGGCACUGGAGACAAGGCGGCGCAGGCGCGGUUUUGCCGGGGUUUAGAUUUGGCGGAGGCAAGCGUCGUCGAGUGGCAGAUUUGAUUGGUGUGACAAGGAAAAAGGCGCUACAAGCGAGGUUGCAACAGGCAAAGUGACAAGGCGAGCUGCGGCUGCGCGGGCGAGCGCGAAACAGCAGCUUGCUGGGGCACAGUUCUGGCAAGGCAGAAAAGGAGCUGUCACUACCGGAGUCGGGGUUGGCGAGGGAGGAAUCAUCGUGUAGCGAGUUCGUGGGCAGCGCGACUGUGGAGAGGCGACAGAAAAACCGGAAGGCAUCGGGUCUUGCAGCCAGGGAUCCGGCGAGAUGAUGAUGGGCGCGUGUUGCAAGGCGGUCUGAUCCAGCAGCGGCAAAGCUCUGCCAUGGCGAUGACGGGGCACCAUGGCACGGCCGGCGAGGGCGUGAGCGAGACGAGGCGAGGCAGAAAGGGUUGCAGAGGGGCUUCUGCGGCGAUUGGGGAGGAGGGCGCGGGAAUCCAUCCUGUCGCGACCGGCGACUGGGCGAGGCGGCGGGCGUCGAAGAGAUCAAGCCACGCGGCUGAGAAGCUCUGAAGCGGGCGCAUGCUGUUCGGGCGCGUCUGCCUCGGGAGAUCCGGAGAAAAGAUUUGCGGGUCCACCAGUCAGUCUCGGUUUCUCCUCUGCUCAAGAUGGAAAGGGACACUGCCUUUGGGAUUCAUAAGGAACCGAUGGGGUUGGUUGGGUUCUUCAGGGGUCGGGACCAGGAACUGGAGGUUGAGCGCUUAAGCUCAGGGGAGCUAAGACAGAGGGAUUAGGGACUCGGAUUAGGAUUAACUCGGCUGAUUUAACCAAGGCCGUUACAGCCUACCCCCCUUAAAAAGAAUCUCGUCCCAAGAUUCGGGUGUAAGAGCGACCAGUGGGGGUGUGCAGUCCUUACCUCCUUGGCUGGAAAGAAAACCUCGGAAGUGUUUGUUCAGAUACUCUUCUGUUUCCCAGGUGGCUUCUUCUUCUUUGUGGUUGUUCCAUAGUAUCUUGUACAUUUUGACUGUUUGCCGUCGGGUGUGUCUUUCCUUUCGGUCGAGGACCUUUGCUGGAUACUCAGUGUAAGUUAGGUCGGACUCAAUUUGAAGUUGCUCCUGGUCCAAGACCUCAGUUGGAACUUGGACACAUUUCUUCAGUUGGGAGACAUGGAAAACAUCCGGUAAGCAAUGGGUCCACAGAUUUCCACAAUUUCAUAAGGACCAAAGUAACGGGGAGCCAAUUUUCCUUUUACUCCAAACCGUUGCACUCCUUUGGUAGGGGAGACUUGAAGAUAUACGUGAUCACCAAUGUCAAACUGCAGGGGUCUUCUUCUCCUGUCCGAGUAACUCUUUUGUCGGGAUUGGGCGGCCUCGAGAUUUUCUUGAAUUAUCUUCACUUGUUCUUCUACUUCUACUACUAAGUCAGGGCCGUAGGUCUGUCUUUCGCCGACUUGUGACCAAUUCAACGGUGUCCGACAUUUCCGACCAUAUAGGGCUUCAAACGGUGCCAUCUUCAAACUGGUCUGGUACCUAUUGUUAUAGGAGAACUCUGCCAAUGGUAAGCACUUAUCCCAAUUCUUGUCAUAAUGAAUGACACAAGCUCUUAACAUGUCUUCAAGGAUCUGAUUUACCCUUUUGGUCUGACCAUCGGUUUGAGGGUGAUAAGUCGAGCUACGAAUGAGCUUGGUGCCGAGCGAUGCUUGUAGCUGUUCCCAAAAACACACUACAAACUGAGCUUCUCGAUCUGAGAUGAUCGUCCUAGGCACACCGUGUAGGGAGACAAUGCGGUCAAGAUACAACUCUGCAUAUUUCUUGGCCAGGUAGGUGGUGUGGACCGGAAGAAAGUGGGUAGUCUUGGUAAGACGAUCCACAAUCACCCAAAUGGAAUAAUGUCACUGCGAUGUAAGGGGCAGUCCAACAAUGAAGUCCAUGCUGAUGUCUUUCUAUUUCCAAGAGGGAAUAGGUAGGGGCUGCAGGGUACCAGCUACCUUUAAAUAGCUGGUUUUGACACGUUGACAGGUGUCACAUUCUGAAACAUACCGUGCAAUUUCUAGUUUCAUUCCACACCACCAGAAGAUUUGACGGAGAUCAUGAUACAUCUUAUUGCUGCGAGGAUGAAUUGAGAACUUGGAGAGAUGAGCUUCAUCUAGGAUUUGCUUUCUCAGAUUGGGGUCGGAUGGUACAAGUCAAUUUCCAUAAUAUACUCUCCCAUUCUCAUCCUGUCGGAAUUGCUUAUACCCUUCAUCCUUCAAUGAAAUCUUCCUUUUGAUUCGCCUCACUUCCUCAUUCUCUAAUUGUGCUGACCCAAUUUGGUCUUCCAGGACAGACUCAAGAGAUAUAUGGCCGAGGGUUCCAUGGGAAAUAAUUUCCAAACUGAGCUUUCCCAUCUCCUGGCACAGGGUCUCUGUGAAAUUGGUUGCCAUCAAGAAAUUGCAAUGAGUCUUGCGACUAAGAGCAUCGGCCACCACGUUGGCCUUGCCGGGGUGAUAAUGCACUUCCAAAUCAUAAUCCUUUAUCAACUCCAACCAUCUUCUUUGGCGCAUGUUGAGGUCGGCCUGAGUGAAGAUGUACUUGAGACUCUUGUGAUCGGUGUAGAUGUUACAGUGGGUGCCCAUCAAAUAGUGCCUCCAUAUCUUUAUGGCAUGAAUCACUGCUACCAACUCAAGAUCAUGGGUCGGAUAGUUCAGCUCAUGAGGUCGUAACGCCCGCGAGGCAUAGGCAAUGACUCGAUUGUCUUGCAUAAGAACACACCCAAGUCCAGUGCCAGAGCUGUCACAGUAUACGUCAAACGGCUUAGAAGGGUCGGGUUGAGCCAAAACCGGGGCUGAGGUCAGCAAGUGUUUCAAGGUGUUGAAGGCUUCUUCACACUUGUUACUCCACACAAAUUUGACUUCUUUCUUCAGCAGCUCAGUCAUCGGCUUAGCUAUCUUGGAGAAAUCCGGAAUGAAACACCGAUAGUAGCCUGCUAGUCCAAGGAAACUUCGGAUCUGGUGAACUAAAGUGGGUGGCUUCCAGUCCAUGACUUCUUGUACCUUGCUGGGGUCAACUGUUAUGCCAUCCCGAGAGAUGGUGUGUCCUAAGAACUUGACACUCUCAAUCCAAAAUUCACACUUGAAGAAUUUGGCAUAGAGUUGAUGAUCUCUCAACCGUUGAAGAGCCACACAAAGAUGCUUGGCAUGUUCUUCUUCGCUCUUAGAGUACACCAGAAUAUCAUCAAUGAACACCACCACGAACUUGUCCAGUUCGGGAAUGAACACCAAAUUCAUGAGAUACAUAAAAUAGGCGGGUGCAUUGGUGAGUCCAAAAGACAUAACUAGGUACUCGUAGAGUCCAUAUCUUGUGGAGAAAGCAGUUUUGGGAAUAUCACAGGGUCUGAUCUUGAUUUGGUGAUAACCGAAACGAAGAUCGAUCUUGGAGAACACUCUGGCUCCAGCUAAUUGAUCAAACAGAACAUCAAUGUGGGGAAGUGGAUACUUGUUCUUGAUAGUCACCACAUUGAGGGGUCGGUAGUCCACACACAUGCGUAGACUCCCAUCCUUCUUCUUCACAAACAGGGCUGAGCAACCCCAGAGUGAAGUACUGGGUCGGAUGAAGCCUUUCUCCAACAGAUCAUGCAACUGGGUUUUUAACUCGGCUAGCUCCGCGGGUGGCAUCCGAUAGGGUCUCUCGGAUAUCGGAGCGGUGCCUGGCUGCAGUUCAAUGGCAAACUCGAUAUCUCUGUCUGGCGGCAUGCCAGGUAAGUCAUCUAGAAAUACAUCCGGGUACUCGCAGACAACAGGAAGGGUUUCUAUCUGGGCUUCCGAUAUAGGGUACGCACAAGGAAUUGCGUACUCAGGGUGGGUCAAGGAUAGGGUAGAACUGCCAUGCAAGGGUGAGUCGAUGUGGAGAGCUCGGGCAGCUGCAUCUAGAACCACUUGGUGUCGGGUCAUCCAAUCCAUCCCAAGGAUGAUAUCUAUUCCUUCCAGGUCAAGGAUGAUGAGAUUCUCCCUAAAAAGAGUUUGGUCUAGCUGGAUAGGUACAAGGGUAACUAUCUUGUCUGAGGCUAUCUUCCUUCCCGGAGUGGAGAUCACAUAUGAUCCUUUAGUGUGAUCAACACUCAGCUCACAUCUUUCUCUAGUCUUACUCCCGAUGAAGCUAUGGGAGGCUCCCAAAUCAAACAAAACAACAACAGUUUGAUUAUGGACAAGGAAGGUACCCGUCAUCACUGGCGCACCUUCGGGGAGCUCGGUCAAGCUGGUGUAGUUGAGCCGUCCUUGGCAAACUUGCACCUUGGGCCUUCUUCCUCUGUUCGCUGUGGGGUUCUGGCCAGUCUGGUGAUGCUUGUUCCUGGGGCAGUCCCUUGCAAAAUGCCCUUCAUUUCCGCAGGUGAAACAACGGUUGCUAUUCACAAGGCGCGACGGCGGUAAGGUCGGCCGGGGCGCCUGCGGUUGGAAAUUGGGAAAACGAGGUGCCGUGGGAGGUGGAGGGUGAGAAAUCCAUCGUCCCGAUUGUUGGGGCCUGUGGGGCACCUGAGGGGGAACCAUCCUGAAUCUUCGAGCGGGCGGGCUCGGCAAUGCCGCUGAGGCUUUCCUUUUCUGGUCAGCUCUGAGAGCCUGCAUGCAGUCCUCUUGAGAGAUGGCCAGAUUCACCAACUCGUUGUAGGUAUCCACCUUGGUGGGAUUCAACCUUUCCUUGAGUUCCAGGCUCAAGCCUCUGCGGAACCUGUCCCUUUUCUUCUCGUCGGUAUCUGCAUGAUAGCCGGCAUAACGGCACAGGUCGUUGAAGGCUUGUGCGUAGUGUAGGACGUCACGGCUUCCUUGGGUAAGGGCCAAGAACUCGUUGAGUUUGCGUUCCAGAAGACCUUUGGGAAUGUGAUUUCCUCUGAAGACGGUCUUGAACUCGUUCCAGCUGACAGCAUGGUCGGCCGGCAGCAUAGCAUGGUAGUGAUCCCACCAAAGCCGGGCGGAACCACGCAGCUGUUGAGCCGCGAACUGGACUUUGUUCUGGUCAGGACACGGGGUGGUGAGGAGUUCGAACUUGGAUUCGAUAGUACGAACCCAGGCAUCUGCAUCGAGUGGGUCUUCAGUCUUGUGGAAGGUCGGGGGCUGCGUGCUCAAGAAGUCCUCAUAACGAGCAACUUGAGGUUGUUGAUGAGCUCUCCCUCCAUGGGGCUGCUGUUGUCCUUGUACAAUGUGUCUUAGCAGCUCAGUCUGAGCCGCUAGGAUGGCUUCCAGCGAAGGUGGGGGCGGAGGUGGAGGAAGAUCCUGCCUCUGCUCGCUGCCACUGGGCACAGAGCCAGAUCGGGUGCGGUGCGCCAUCUGCAAGAGCCAACGUUCCAUUAAUUCCAUAACCUCAGAAGUAUUCCAAUCAUGCAGGAACGUAUACUUUAAAUCCUCAAAAUGCGACUCUUACUGAUAGUGCAACACAACAACAUCUCUUAUUAAGGAGAUACACACUUCCUCUUGCCAUCUCAGUUAGCAACUAUCUUAGUUCUUCACACAACUUCGGGCGAACCAAAACCGUAUCCCAUAGGCUCCACUAUAUCCGACCUUAGGCCAAGGGGUCGGGCUAAGCGAAACAGUGCAACCAGGGGUCGGGCGAGGCGGAGAACUGCCUCGAGGGGUCGAGUGCAUCCGACCUUGCAACUUGGGGUCGGCCAACUUUGGACAGACCCACAGAAAACUUGUGUGUGGUCACAGCACAAAACUCACACAACCUGGCAUCCAAGGCGUGUCGCAAAAAGGGUCAAAAAUCAAGUCAAGAUCUGAUUUCACUAAGAUCAUUUCAUUGUUGUUCCCCAAAAUACAGGAGGAAUACUCAACUCAAGGCUAACCUAUUACAUCACUAUCCAAAACUUAGGUUGCCGAGGAGUACAACAAAAGAUUAGAUUCCUACAGCUCUCAACCUAUGAGGGAACACUGUGAGUCGGAGAAGGGGCGUCGCCAUCCUCAAUGUCCAUGCUGGACGCUCCCAUGACCUCCUCAGGGUCUUCUUGUUCAUCUAGCUGCAUCUCAAGGGCAUGCAUAGCAUCGAGCUCAGCGUGGUGCUCGUCCAAAUGAGCAUUGGCAACUGCGAGCUCCAGCUCAACUUCCAUCUUCUCUUCGGCAAGCUCGAUCAUACCAUCCACCAGGUCUGUCACUUCUCCCUCGAGCUCAGAGAUCCUGGCUUGCAUGUCAUGGAUCUGUAUGCCUCUCUGGAUGAGCUGAUAUGACCAUCCCACCAAGUCUCUCUUGGCGGCGUUGAAAUACCCUUGGGUGUCUAUGGCUAUCCGAGCCAAGACAGCCAUAGCUCGGCCUUGAAGCUCAAUCAGCCGAUACAAGGCUGACACGCAUCUGGUGGUGGUAGAGAUGGUGACCAACAAAUGGGAGGUUGCCAACACCUCCAUGUUGUUAACACGAUCAAGCCACGCCAAGUCUAGCCGAUCCCUGGCAGGAAACAGGCCGAUUGGGUCCAAGGUGACCUCAAGCGGGUGUAGCUGACGGAACUGGGUGAGGAUCUGAGAGCAGCCGACUCCCAAGUAUCCUCCAGAGCGUGUCCGCUAGUCAAGACUUCGACCUGGGGCCACUCGGGCUGCACAGGGGGUGGAGGUACAAUCACCUACACGUUGCAUCUCUGCACUCCGUGCUCCUGGUACAUCCGUCCCAUGUACAGAGGCGGGGACUAGUACCCAAACCACCUUAAGGUAUCCCACAGAAUAGCAAUAAAACCGUCAAAGUGUAGGCACGUAGAGUGGGAAACGCCGUUAGCGCCGUACAACACGUGUCCGGGGGCAGCCAUAUGGAACCAAGAACCGAAACAACGUGAGAUAGAAACUCUAAGAAGAAGAAUAGAUCAGGCAGAAAAGGUACUCGGAUUUGACCAAAGUAUAGCUGGAAAGGUAGCUAGAAAUCCUUAAAGCGAAGAAAAGCUUUUCCAAGGCAAGGUUGUUUUAGAGAGGUGAUUUCACAGAUUUUUGUUCAUGACGCAUGCACGACCUACUUCGUCCUCUCAACCAAAACAACUGCCAAAAACCUUUGGUCUUACGCAAUCAGUGCCGGUGGCAAGGCAACCAGUACGUCGCUCCCUAUAAUAGCUAGUCGGGUUCUAGUAGCAUCUCCUAAGCGAACGCGGUUAGUGUACCUGCAGAAAACACAGCCACCUGAACCUUUCAUGCCAGCACCCACGAAAGCGUCCCCAAGCAUUACCGUUCACUAUAGAAAUGGCACCCAUGCGUUUAACGCUGCAUGGACAGCACAACAACCGCGGAAAUAGGUCCCCUUUGAAUGGAACCGUAUAACCCUUCGCAUACUCGAGAUGCGGAAUCUGCGCACGUAUAAUAGACGUGGACGAACAACCGUGAUGAUAGGCUCGUUGGAAUCGAACCAUACCACCCUUCGUAUGAAUCAACAUACGGAACCUGCACACGUAUGAUAGACGUGGGCGAAACAACCGCGAUGAUAGGGUCCCUUGAAUAGAACUCCCUAUCAACCCUCGCAUACUCGUGAUGCGGAACUCGGCACACGUAUGAUACACGUGGCGAAGUGCUGGGGGUUAGCAAGAUAACCAAUAAGUAAUAGCCACCAAAAACAACCCAAAAUCCCCUAGGGCCUCUCGUACUAAAGUCAUCCUUAACGAUCGUACGAGACUUUUCAACCUUUUUCUUACAAAAUUUUAUUCAAAAAGAACGUGUUCUAGGACCCAUCGUGUUCUCUGCCCUGCUAAACCAGCUCUGGUACCAGCUGUGGCGGAACCACCUCGGAUUAACUUAAUUAAAGCACGAUUAAGCCACUUGACACGCGACACUCAUGCCUUAGUCAAGUUAACUCAAAGUGCCGUCAGAUUUCAUCCGAUUUAACCACUUAAUAGGACCGAGUUAGCAUGACCCACACGAAGGUGAGUGGUUCCAGAGAAUACAACAGGUCCACCAUUAGAUUAACAAGUUGUUACACACUCGGUUAUAAAUUAGAGUUUUACAAAUUCUGAAGAAAAUAAUAGAAGAUAAAAAUAAGCGGAAGCUUCUCGUCGGGGUCGGACGUCCCUGGUGAGGCCAGCCGGGACAUCAGUGAUCCCAUUCCCCGCCGUCCGAGGAAGGAUCCCACUGGACCGUCCAACCCAGAGGGAGCUGGGGCGGCCAAGUGCCAGCAGCAAGCUCUGAAGCUGCAGCUUCACCUGAAAAGAGAAGCCACAAACAAGGCUGAGCUUCUAAGCUCAACAAGACUUAACCGACCGGUGACCACUCCACCACGUCUAGACAUGCAAGGCUCUUUUGGCUGAGGGGGUUUUGUUUGCCAAAAGUGACUAUGUUGGGUCUUUAUUUUCAAGUUUUAGCUCAGAUUCUAGUUCAUUAACCAGUCUAUGUUGGCAACUUACUCUAAGCAAGCAUAGAUCCACUUUAUGUAUAUAAGCUCAACAUCAAGACCAUGUCAUCAUCAGGCUCCUUCAUUACUCAGUGUAGUAUUAUGAUCAAGCAGUCUCAAACUGUGAGAGGCAGACGAAUCGAUUCGAGUUCUUUAACCAUGCAUGGUGAACCUAACCUCACGACAUCCGCGCACCACCGAGGGUCGCUUCCUGUGUCAGCCUUCCCCAUCAAUUCCCUAACCCGUGUCGGGUCCACUUUCUUUGGUACAAGGUUCCACAGACCCGGCCUCUGCUGAUCUGUGACCACACUUGCCACCACGUGCGGCUGCAGGGGAACUUCGUUCCAAGGAUAGUGGAGCGACCGCUCACGUCUAGGUUCAAUCAGGUACUAGGCUUCCCCAUCCCAUACUGAGUAUGAGGUUAGUACUUUCAAACACUUGAUCACGAACACCACUACUGUCGGGCCUUAACAGAUUCAGUAAACAGACGGGGCGAUCAGCCGACCACCAAAAGAGUUAACCAAAACCCUGCCCUAUCCGUCGUCCUUAUAGUUGUAACAGAAGAAGAAACAACCAACUCCUAUAACUCGCGAGUGACAGAAAAUCACUCAACUUUUACCAAUUCCUAUUUAAGCAUAGCAACUACUCGGCCCAACAAACUAGUGUUCAGAUCAAAGGAACUAUGUCAUGCAUCUAUGGUUGCAAACAACUCCUAUACGUAAAUGCACAAACACGAGAAGGAAGGCAUGUGCAAGCUUAGAAAGUUGGGUUCAUGCUUCGGGGCUUGCCUUCAAGCGGAGGGGAGGAGAACUGGUCUUCAGCUGGGGCUGCUUUGGCUUUUGGAGUUGGCAGCUCAGCUACAGCUCCGUCUUCGGGCGCCGGGUGUAGCUCGUAGACGCCGUCAUUGAGAUGUAACUCUACACGAAUGCAAUGCAGGAGUUAGUGUUUAGAUGGUUAUUUCAACAACACUUGCGAGUUAAAGCUCGGGCACUUGUAGCAAAGCUACAGAAAAAGCAAGGAAGUUUACUUUAGUUGGUCGAGAGCAAGAUAAAAAGGGUCGGAUGCGAAUAGACUUGUGAUCUGACCCUUAAACUUUAAGGGAUAACUGUGUUCGGGGUCCUCAAACUUGACGCAGAGAAAUUCCAAUCUUUUACACAGAUACCCUCGGGUCAAGGAAAAGGAUACAGCCGAGUCCUCGGGCGAGGCGGAUAAGGGUCAGCUAAUAGACAGGGUCGGGCGAGACAGAAAAAGGGGUCGGACGAAAUAGAUAGGGUCGGGCGAGACGGUAAGGGUCGGCAGCUUACCUUCAUGUUUAUAGGUGAAGCUUCGGGGUCGGGAAGGAACAGACUUGGGCGGAAGGACUUAAGCACUAAGGCUUGGGCGGCAGCGAUGUCCGGCGGGGCUCCAGCGGCGGCGGAGCUUCUUGUGGGCAACAAGGAAGCUCUAGCACAGCGCGGAGGAGCAGGCGGCUGGGUGGAUUGGGGAGAAGCGGGUCUGAGCGGAGAAGGGAACUUCUCAAGAGUUUCAGCGGAAGUGCUCAGGUGCGCUCAGAGUAGGGGCGGCGAAACAGCAAAGGCGAAGGAACUCCGGUGGAACUCUGGCAUUCCCUUUUAUAGCUGUGCGGAAGAGAGAGAGUUGGAGCAGCACGAAGACCGGGAAGAAAAAGAUGGAGUGCGCUGCCAUGGCGGCGAUUAAGCGGCGAUGGGCGGCGGAACAGAGCUUCGGAGAUGGCGUCUUCGGCCAUUGGGCACUGGAGACAAGGCGGCACAGGCGCGAUUUUGCCGGGGUUUAGAUUUGGCGGAGGCGGGCGUCGUCGAGCGGCGGAUUUGAUUGGUGUGACAGGGAAAAAGGCGCUACAAGCGAGGUUGCUACAGGCGAAGUGACAGGACGAGCUGUGGCUGCGCGGGCGAGCGCGAACCAGCGGCUUGCUGGGGCACAGUUCUGGCAAGGCGGAAAAGGAGCUGUCGCUGCCGGAGUCGGGGUUGGCGAGGGAGGAAUCAUCGCGUAGCGAGUUCGUGGGCGGCGCGACUGUGGAGAGGCGGCGGAAAAACCGGAAGGCAUCGGGUCUUGCAGCCGGGGAUCCGGCGAGAUGAUGAUGGGCGCGCGUUGCGAGGCGGUUUGACGCAGCAGCGGCAAAGCUCUGCCACGGCGGCGACGGAGCACCAUGCCGCGGCCGGCGAGGGCGUGAGCGAGGCGAGGCGAGACAGAAAGGGUUGCAGAGGGGCUUCCGCGGCGAUUGGGGAGGAGGGCGCGGGAAUCCAUCCUGUCGCGACUGGCGACUGGGCGAGGCGGCGGGCAUCGGAGAGAUCAAGCCACACGGCUGAGAAGCUCUGAAGCGGGCGCAUGCUGUUCGGGCGCGUCUGCCUCGGGAGAUCCGGGGAAAAGAUUUGUGGGUCCACCAGUCAGUCUCGGUUUCUCCUCUGCUCAAGAUGGAAAGGGACACUGCCUUUGGGAUUCAUAAGGAACCGACGGGGUUGGUUGGGUUCUUCAGGGAUCUGGACCGGAAACUAGAGGUUGAGCGCUUAAGCUCAGGGGAGCUGAGACAGAGGGAUUAGGGACUCGGAUUAGGAUUACUCGGCUGAUUUAAUAAGUUCGUUACAGCUUUCACCAACGCAGCUGCUAAACGAGAUGAGGUGGACUGAUGGCCCAUUCGUGCUGCUGCCUGUGCUGUGAGUGGACUGCCAACUGACGGACGGCGAUCAGAUUGCAUACGGAUCAGGGUCAGACCAGCCAGAGCCAGCCCGAUCGAUCAAGCAACAACGACUAGUAUCAGCGAGGUGAUAUGGCGCACAUGCAGCUGCAGGCCACCAUGAGGGCAGUACGGGCACAGGAGCGCCUCUCCAACCAAUUGGCUUGGAAUCCAUCCGAAUUUCAUCUCACAAAAUGAAAUUCAUAUAUCCCAGCAGCCAGAGCCAGAAACUCUCAAACUGCACACCCUUUAUUUCCUCUUUUAAAUCACAACAGCCACGGGGAAGGAAAAUACCAGACGCCACCCUUACUCUGCACAGUGUAGUACUCCCUGCACAUUUCCAUCCGGAAGCAGGGGAAUUAUUGCUGCAAUCUGUCCUCAUAAAUUGGGAGCCCAGCAGACAGGCCCUCCUUCCUUGCUACGAGUAUAGAGUAUUCUUCUCCUCCUCCUCCUGGUCCGGUCAUGGGCGUUAUGAGGAGGGUAGGGGCGAGUGGUACCCUGCCCGUGCCGCGAGACAUCCUCCACUCCACUGCAUCAGCCGUCCGCUGCAAUGAAUCUUGGCUGGGACAGCCGGCUGGCGUAGGUGGUUACGAGCUGCAGCUGCCCACUGUCCAGGCCCUCCAGAUACGGCAGCAGCGACGGCCCCAGCUUCAGGUAUGUGUCCACCACGCACACCAUCACUGCCUGCCAAUUUGCAAAUGCACCACAGGGCAAAGCCGUUACGAUACACAUCAGCUGUUCUUUCUUUUUAAUUUUGGUACCAAAUGCUUUGUACGUAUGGUAGGAAUGUAUGAUGCAAAGCAAGUACAAUGCUGCAGUAGGUAAAUGUUACUGCAGGUCAGGUCCUAGUUGGUGAUGGUCCUCUUCUUUAGUUCCGGUUUAAUUUAGAUCCAGGAGAAAAGGGGUGCGCCAUCGGUAGGCUAGAAUUUACUUCUGGUUGGUAUUUGCAAUUGGGACUAAAGGGGAUCUUUAAGUCCUGGUUCAAAAUCAGCCACCCGUGGGGAUCCUUUAGUGCCGGUUGAUGUUUCCAACCGGGAUAAAAAGGGUCCCCAUGUGUAGCUGGGAAAUGACUAAAUCCCUUACCAACCGGGAUAAAAUGGGGUCUUUAAUCCCGGUUGGUGUUACCAACCCGGAUUAAAGGGUCCUACAUGAGUUAAUACAAAAUGAUAACAUUCCCUAUAUAGACAGAUGUGGUGUGUAGGUGGGAUAGCAAGGAAACUACACGUGAGGCUUGAGGUCAUGGGUUCGAAUAUGGACCGCGCACGCGCAUAUUUCGCGUGAAAAAUCACGUGACUUAUGACUUGUGGGGGGCCUCCCGGGGACCCUAGAGAUUUUUUAUUUUUGCAAUUUUUUUUGCAAAACCAUUUAGUCCCGGUUGGUAUUACCAACCGGGAUAAAAGGGGCGGGAGGCAGCCCCUGGCGUGGCGACCGUUUUAUCCCGGUUGGUAUUACCAACCGAGACUAAAAGGGGAUCUUAUAUCCCGGUUGAGGGACCCGGGACAAAAGAUCUCCCCUUUUAUCUCGACUGACUAAUCGCGGAUCGUUUUUUAGAAGAUAUGCAUCCUGUCAACCGGGACCAGUACCGAGUUCUCUAGCAGUGAGUAGCGUCAGGAUGCACACUGAAUGCAUGAAAACGACCAGGGUCCACCGAUCCGGUGCUUACAUGCAUGACUUCCAUGUUAAAAUAAAGUUACCCCAUAUGGCCUGACCUGUGUUCAGUAAAGACGGAUAUGGCCCGGCUAACCGAAGGGAACAGACCAAACAUGUGCCCAAGAAAUGCUACUGAAUUUUCUGGUUCGAUGAACACAUUGAUGAAUAGUAUGUGCUAUCAAGGCUAUUGGAAGUUGCUCAGGGUUCUAACCAUAAUUCUUAUGUGAUGUUUUGCCAACAUAGUUCAGUAAGGGUCUUCUAAGUUGUAGACCUUUAACUGAACAGACUCAAGUUGACAAAUUUAUAAGCUUUUCUAAGCUGAUCACUAGUGCAACUUCUACAUAUUAUGCUCCUAAUCGUUCCUAUGACCUUUACUGUAGGUAAUCUGGAGGACACGAGGAAGUACAAUUGUUCAAAAUACAGUGACUGACCUUAAAUACGGCAUUCUAGAGCAAAGUGGGAGUGGAUUAACCUUGCGGACAUAUGGGCUGUGGUUUUCAAAUGCAUCUAGAAGUGCAGGAAGAAAUGUUGAACUCGAAGGUGAACUCGAAUAUACGAUUUAGACAGGUUCGGAUCGCUAGAUUGCGUAAUACCCUACGUCAUGUGUGUUGGUUGGAUUGAAUUUGUGACGACUGACCCAAAUCUCUCGAGUUAAUCUUAAUCCGAAUUCCUGAUCCCCUAUCUCAGCCUUCCCGAGUUCAGUGCUCAACCUCCAGUCUGGUCCCGACCCCUGAGACCCGACCCCUCUCCGCUGGCCUCCAGUUCCGACCCCGCCGACCCCAACUCACCCGCCGGAUUCUCCUAAGUCUUUCCCCAACACCUCCCUUCAAUCUGACCGAUGGACCCACGAGAUCUUUUCCCCCAGAUCUUCCGCGACAGGCGCACUCGAGUUGCAUGCCCGCUUCAGAGUUCCCCCGCCGCGUGGCUCAACUCCUCCGACGCCCGCCGCUCCGCCUCGUCUUCGGCCCGCGACUGAAUGGAUUCUCGCGCCCUCCUCCCCAAUCACAGCGGAAGCCCCUCUGCAACCUUUCCGCAGCACCUCGCCGCCCGCGCCCAUCAUCACAUCGCCAGAUCCCGGCCGCAGAGCCCGAUGUCGCCCGUCUUUUCCGUCACCUCGCCACAGUCGCGCCGCACGGUCUUCGCUAUACGACGAUUCCUCCUCCGCCAACCCCGACCACGGCAGCGACAGCUACCUUUCCCGCCCUGUCAGAAGCCGCCCGACAAUCUGUUGCUCCGCGCUCGCCCGCGCGCCCGCAGCCGCCUGUCUUCUCACCUGUGCGCCCUCGACCCUAGCGCCAUUUUCCCGGUCACUUCCAUCAGCUCCACCGCACGACGACGCCCGCCUCCGCCAAAUCUCAACCACCGGCAAACCCGCGCCUGCGCCGCCCUGACGCCAGUGCCCAAUGACCGCCGGCGUCAUCCCCAAAGUCCUGCUCCACCGCCCUCGUCGCUCAAUCGCCGCUAGGGCAGAGCACUCCAUUGCUUCUUCCCCGGCCUUCGCGCCGCUCCCAUUCUCACUCCCGUGCUGCUAUAAAAGGGAAUGCGCGAGCCCCGCCGGAGUUUCCCUUGCCCUAGCUGCCAUCUCUCUUGCUCUCUGUUCGAGCUCACAGCGUCACCACACUAAGUCCCUAAGGAACUCUCCUCUCCGCUCCACACCGCUUUUCCCAAUCCACCUAGCCGCUUGCUCCUCCGUGCUGCGUAACAGCUUACUUGUGAUCCACAAGAAGCACCGCCGUCGUCGGAGCGCCGCCGGACAUCUCCGCUGCAAGUCUUAAUGUUCCAGUUCCUCCGCCCGAACCUGCUCCUUUCCGACCCCAAGCUUUCCUUGUAAGACGAAGGUAAGCUGCCGACCCCUUUUCCGCCUCGUCCGACCCUUCUGUUCGUCCGACCCCUUUUCCACCUCGUCCGACCCUUCUGUUCGUCCGACCCCUUUUCCGCCUCGUCCGACCCUUGUGUUCGUCCGACCCCUUGUCCGCCUCGUCCGACCCUUGUGUUCGUCCGACCCCUUGUCCGCUUCGCCCGACCCCUCUUAUCCGCCCGACCCCGGUUCCGUCUCGCCCGACCCUGUCUGUUCCGCCGACCCUUCUCCGCCUCGCCCGAGGACUCGGUUGUAUCUUUUUCUUCGAACCGAGGGUGUAUGUGUAAAACUUGGGGACUUUUCAGCGUUGAGUCUGCGGACCCCUAGCACAUCAAACCCUCUAGAUUAAGGGUCAGAUCAUAAGUUCCCUUCCUCCGACCCUUACCUCUUGAUCUUCACCAACUCCUUUGAACCUCCCCACCCUCCUGUAACUGGUCGCAAGUUUCUGGGCUCAGACAUGCAAGUGUUGCUGUUGAAAUAACCGUCCAAAUGCUAACUCUUGUAUUGCAUUUCGUGUAGAGCUGCGUCUCGCCGACGGCUACUACGAGCUGCACCCGACGCCAGAAGACGACGGUGUAGCCGAGCUCCUGCCCCCAGAAGCCGAAGCUGCCCCAGAAGUCAAGCAGUUCCCUUCCUCCUUGCUCGAAGGCAAGCCCCGGAUGCAUGAAACCCUUAUGUUUUCCAAACUUGCGCAUGCUUUCUGUAUCUUGUUUGUGCAUUUAUGUAUAGGAGUUGUUUGCAACCCUAGAUAUAUAACCUAGAUCCCUUGAUCUGAACACUAGCUGUUGGACCGCGUAGCUGCUUGCUUAAAUAGGAAGCGGUAAAAGUCGAGUGAUUUCCUGUCACUCGCGAGUUGUAGGAGUUGGUUGUCUUCCUCCUGUCACAACUGUAAGGACGAUGGACGGGGCAGGGUUUUGGGUAACUCUUUGGUGGUCGGUUGAUCGCCCCGUCUGUCUAUGAAACUUGCUAAGGCCCGACAGUGGUGGUGUUCGUGAUCAAGUGUUUGAAAGUACUAACCUCAUACUUAGUAUGGGAUGAGGAAGCCUAGUACCGGAUUGAACCUAGACGUGAGCGGUUGCCCCAUUGUUCUUGGAACGGAGUUUCCCCUGCUAGCUGUCGCACGUGGUGGCAAGCGUGGUCACAGAACGGCAGAGGUCGGGUCUGUGGAACCUUGCACCAAAGGAAAUGGGCCCGACAUGGGUUAGGGGAUUGAUGGGGAAGGCCAACACAGGAAGCGACCUCCGUGGUGCGCGGAUGUCAUGAGGUUAGGUUCACCAUGCAUGGUUAAAGAACUCGAAUCGAUUCGUCUGCCUCUCACAGUUUGAGACUGUUUGAUCGCUAUGCUACCCUGAGUAAGAAAGAAAUAUGAUGAUGACAUGGUCUUGAUGAUGAUAUAUAUAUACCUUUUGGUUGGUUCUAUGUUUGCUUAGAGUAAGUUGCUAACUUAGACCGGAUAAUGAACUUAGAACCUGAGCUAAAACUCAAAAAUAGGGAUCUACAUAGUGCGUUUGGCAAACAAACCCCUCAGCCAAAGAGCCUUGCAUGUCUAAAAGUGGUGGAGUAGCUUUACUCCAGUCGGUUAAGUCUUGUUGAGCUUAGUAGCUCAGCCUUGUUGUGGCUUUUCUUUCAGGUGAAGUUGCUGCUCCCGAGCCUUCUUCCGUGGGCACUUGGCCGCCCCAGCUCCCUCCGGGUUGGACGGUCGAGUGGGAUCCCUCCUCGGACGGCGAGGAAAGGGAUCACUGACGUCUUGGAUGGCCUCACCAAGGACGUCCGACCCUGCGUUUAGCUUCCACUUGCUGUUUUACCCUCUGUUGUUUUCUUUUGAAUCUUGUAAAACUCUGAUGUAUGUUUUAUAACCAAACUAGGUGGUUAAAGUGCUUAACUCAGUGGACUUGUUGUAUUCUCUGGAACCACUCACCUUUGUGUGAGUUUGCUAACUUGUCCUGUUCGAGUGGUUAAAUUGGAUGAAAUCCGACGGCACUUCGUGUUAACUUGGCUUAGGCAUGGGUGUCGCAUGUUAGGCGACUUAACCCUGUUUAACCAAGCUAAUCCGAAGUGGAUCCACCACAGAAUUAUUUUGGAGCGGAUCCCUGCCUCGUCUUAUAUUACGGAGGGCUGGGUUACAGGUCAAUUAUUUACAAGAAUGCUAGUCGGAUUUGAGUAGAUGAGUCCUACUCGUAGCAAAGAUUUUCUAAUCCUCAACUAGUUCCUGUCUUGCCACGUAGACCACGCUAUCCUGCACCGUAGUAUCCAUAUCUAACACGCCUCGGUGUCUAGCCCUGUAUCUAGGACUGUCCGAACCUUUUGGUGGGUCCAUAGAUGUAUGUACGACAAGCCCCCGAGUACUUUUUAGUCAAAUGCAGCAGUUCCGAGUAUUUUUUGUAUAUUUCUCUGACUAGUUUUGGUGCUCUUCGAGUACUUCAUCGUGUUGAGUCUUCAAACGUACUCGAGCACUGCCAUGCGGCUAGAAUGCGCUCAAGCCUCAUUUAACGUGGUCUUAAAUUUUCAAUCUUGAAUUUUUUAUAUGGAAGUACGACGAAAGUCGCACUCCAUAUGGAGUAGCCCCGAGCCUUAGGUUGAAUCGAAUAAUCAGGCUGAGGGUCAAUCUGUAAUUAGCAUCUCUUUUUCCUUAAAACCGAGAGAAAAAACAUUUUAGCCGAUGGGCACACAGCCCCCGAGCCGUUGCACGACUAGAUUGGUGGGUAUAAGGGUCAUCCUUUGGUUAACGUGACCAUCCAUCAACAGUAACCUUAUCUCUUCCGAAAAUAAUGGAAACUGCCAAUCAGGUGCGGAAUCUUCGGGCCAUUAAACCAGAAUAUUCCCUUUAAUUCUGCUGUUGUUACUAUGCUGUGGUUAUAAAUAAUGGAGAAAAAUAUUCCUUUCGUUUUACCCGUGCCAUCUGCUCUUUCAACUUUCGCAUUGUAGCCCUAGCACCGCCACAGCCUAAUCCUCGAGCUCUAGCGCUGCUGUCCCCCACCACUUAGCCCCCGAGUGUAUGCGAAAGAAGACUCUCGUGGCAACAAGGAUGGGGAAGAAGGCAACUGCAUCCAAAGCGGCGGAAGGCGGGAAGAAGAAGGUGGAUAAGAAGAAAGAGAUCCAACUACUAGCUCCGAAGUAUGGAAAGACUGACCAGACUGCCCCACCGUUUCCUACUUGUGCCUGGAAGCGCUCAUCGCUGAAAGAAGAGGACAUCAAGGCACUCAUGGCGGCCAACCUCCUCCAGGAGAAGGAUGUCAUCAACUGGAGGUCCGCAUUCAGCAACUCGUGGCCCCUAGAAACAUACGUCGAUGAGACGGUAAUCUUCUCCCAUUUCGUUGAGCGCGGACUUGUUUUGCCUGCCUCCGACUUCUUCCGCAACCUCUUGGACUACUACAAGAUUGAACUUGUGCACCAUAACCCCAACAGCAUUCUGCAUGCCACGAUCUUCAUUCAUCUGUGCGAAGCAUUCUUGGGGAUUCAGCCACAUUUUCAGCUUUUCGCAAGUUUUUCCACAUCAAGCCACAACCCAAGAGAGAACAUACUGAAGUAGUCAGAGGGGCUAGAAUCCAGAUGAGAGAAAGUAAAGGGCUUGUACUUGGACUUCGAGUUGAUUGACUCGCAUUAUGGGUGGAAGGAGAAGUGGUGCUACAUUGGUAACCACGAGCCCAAGCUCCCGAAGUUGGAUGACUUGGAAUAACAGAUGGUUGGAUGAGCCUUCUCACGGGGACUGCUUGCAGCUACCCGAGCUCCUAGACAGAAUUGCCAAGCUCAAGCAAAAAGGGCUAACAGGAGUUAGGGGAGCCUUCAGCUUCAUGAAGAGACGAGUUCAACCCCUGCAACUCCGGUGUACCUGGGGCUAUGACUACUUGGGCCCCAAUGACCUAUCCAGGAUGUCACCGGAGGAGCUCAGUGUUGAUGAAGUCAUUGCGCGAUUGAGGUGCCUGUUUAAGAAUACAAGCGAGAUCCUAACGAUUGUGCUGGAAUUCUGCACCGCCAACCCACCGAGUAGUGUAAGUACGCAUGGACGUAGCCCCCGAGUACUAAUUUUUGAUUACUCUUGCGGGCCAAUCUUUCUUUAUCUUCUUCCUCUGAUCCACUUUAAGCCCAUAUUGGCCCAAUCGCUCUAGCUUUCCAGUCGGCCGAUCUCCAACUCCGUCCUCCAAAACACUGUAGCGCUAAUCGACCAAUCCCCAACUAUAGCACCAAUCGGCUGAUUCCCAAUCGUGACCUUUUAAUCUGCCGCAUCGGCCAGUCCUUUCCUUCCUUGACACCGAUUCCAUACGUGUCAAAAUCUAGCGUCAACACAUGCCCCCCAAUUUUGGAGUAAAACAUAACUUUUACUUCGAAAUUCCUUUUUAACUCCUCCUCCGAAACAAACGCAUCAAAAAUAUGCUUCCAUUUGGCAGUCUCCUACCUGAUGAUUUCAAUCUUUUCGAAACAGGCGCCUGAGACAACCAUUCCCUCGAAAUUCGCAUAGACGGCGCGGUAAAAAUCCCGCCUUUACCCCUUCUCGGACCGUCUUUAAAUACUGGCACGCCCCGCACUUCUUCUUCACAAGCCAGUAACUUCCUUCUUGGUGCACUAGUUUCCAUCUUCUUCUGGCGCCCUCUCGGCUUCCAACCACGUCUUACGGCGACCCCUUUUCAUCCGCAUUUUGCUCCAUCUUCCCAAUGGCGGCACCGUCAUCAACCUCACUAGCAACGAAAACUCCGGCGGCAGCUCCAACUGAAGCGGCAGCAGCUCCAUCGGUGACAGAGGUUCCACCGACGGCCUCGGCGGCGGUAGCUCCACUAGCAGCCCCGUCGGCGACGAUGACUUUCAUCCCGGAGGUAUUCACCUGGAACUUUUCUUUUUACCUUUACCACCCAGGCAUUUGUUUUAGAUCCAUUCUUAGUUUCUUCCCUUUUUACCUUUUUUUAGGCGGUUAGACACCAAAUCACCAUUCGCCUUUCCGAAGCUCCUGGUCUCAUCUGUCUAGGUCCUAUGGGAAACUCAGACCCAACCGACCUAAUCAACUUGGAAACCCAUAGGAUUCCAUUUAAGUAGUCGACUAUGGACUUGGAUCAUUGGUCAGGCACUUUCAGAUCUUGGCCGAAUGAAACUCCCAGUUGGAAAGAAUGGUACCAAAGAAUGGCCAACUCUAAGAGAGUUCAAUGGGACGAGCAAAAAAUCGACCAGUGCAUCAAUCUCUCUCUAUCUCAGAUGGAGAGGUAUGAACCCUUGGUGAUAGCAGCCUCCUAUUUUUGGUCCGAUGCUCUCAACAUGUUUCUUUUCGGACACGGGCCCAUGACCCCCACUCUGGGCGAUGUUGUGAUGUUGACUAGCCUUGACAUCUCUUCCCCCGAUACCCCCUUCCAUUAUUUGGUAAGGCCGACCCAUCGGCUGGAGACAAAAGGAAUCGGCAGGUGGAAGGGGUUCAUAAAAAAUAACAUGAAGACCGGGACAGUUUCAGAGAGAGAAUAUGCGGCCUUCUUGAUGAUGUGGCUGGAGAAACACCUUUUCUGCGGGCCGAGCAGCCGGCCCUUCUUCCAAUACACAAGCUCUAGCCGAAGCACUAUCAAUAGGAGCCGGUGUCCCUCUCGGGAAGCAUCUGCUAGGAUCGGUCUAUCAUAUGUUGCACCAAAUCGGCGUCAAAUUAUCAAAGGGAGAGCCGAUUGGAAAUCCAGAUGGCCCCUGGUGGUUCAUCAAUCUCUGGCUCAAUUUAUAUAUGAGCAAGAUCUCACAGCAACGGGUAGAGCACAUGACAUUCCCCAAUAUUGAAUCAGAAGAAAACCCCACCAUACGGCGCCGACGCACCUCGUUUGGCGAAGCAGCGUCAAUCUUCUCUAGUUGCCAGCUCACCGCCACCAAAGUAGCCGAAUACUUCAGAUGCUUUUACAACAGCUUUAGUGAAGAAACCACCAGCUGGUACUCGUAUCAGAGAUCAGAACCACUUUUCGAGCUCCCCUUCUGUUAUGACUCGACGACCAAUACCUUUGACAAUGAUCUCACAGAUGUCUUGAUCAAGCCAGGGAUCUUACCGGCGAACUUUUUCUCAGGGAGGAUGCCCCUACUUACGAGUUUUACAAUCCAUCCGUUGCGGCAUGGCAGUUCGGCCUAGGUCAGCUGCCAAUUUAUGUUUUCUUUGCCGGUCGUGCAAAAUUCCGAGAUGAGCUCACCAAAGGUCUCGAUUAUAGUCGGCUGUGCGACCGAGUGCCUGACUCAAACUGUGGUUGGCAGAAUCGAAACAGCAUCUCUUUUGUGCAUCCCCUGUGAUAUACUGCAACAUCAUGGAUCCCGACAACAUUGACCCGAAUGCAGAGGUACCGUUCUUCCAUUAGCCGAUUUCGAUGCCAUUUUUAUACUACUAACUCUUAUUUCUUUUACAGUCCGAGAGCCAACUCCCUCCAAGGCGCAGCCGGAGUGGCAGGCCGAUAGAGAACUGUUACCUGUAAAUGAAAUUUCCACUCAUCGGCCAUCAUGCCCCAUCCAUUGAUGACAUCACCACUGGCCGAUUAAAGCAGACACCGAAGAAAACCUUAAAGAAAACAAGCCAUCGAGUGCGCGCCCGGAUGGAAUCGGCCGUUCAGUCUGCGGCGGCAUCGGCGGAAACUUUGGCUGCGCCGAUUCUCCCGAUCAUCGAGGAGGUUUAUCCCCAAGCUACUACAGAAGCUGGAGCGGCCGCUGCAUCACUGCUAUUAGAAGCCAUUCAGGUAACCUUGUGUUCAUAUCCUCCUGAGUAUUCUCCCGAUACUGACUUCUCCUUCACAUUAGGCCGCACAAGAUGCUCCGGUGACUCCGCAGCAAUCGACGACGCCCCAAGCAGAAAUUGGAGCACCAGUAAUUCCUUCCACUGAGGUAAAGAAUCCCUUCACUUAAUUUUUUGAUACUUAAUCAAAAGCUUGACCGAUUCUGAUGUAGGCUACCCUUGGUAUGUCAAUUGUACAUUCUCAACAGCCAUCGGCCAGGGAAACCACGGAGGUACAACAAUCACCACAUGUCAUCAGAUCUAACCAUUUGCAUUAUACUCAUAAGAACUUGCUCCUCGUACCUUUCCAGGAGGCCGGUCCAAGCAGGACACCAAUAAUCGUCGAAUCCUCCUCCUCCGAUGAGCUGGUCGCAGGAGUCCCUGAAUCAAGUUCAGCACUCCCAUCGACGCAAAUAGAAGAAUCAAUAAUUGAAUGCCUUUUAGGACAGCUCAGUAUUCCGCUUGAUUAUUGGUCGCAGAAGCUUCUAUCGGUAGAGAGAAAUCAUAACUUGCCCCCUGAGGUGAUAUGAGAACAAUGUCGAUUCUUGAUCCGGCGUCACAUGACGAACCAUCAAAGUAUAGAGUCCAUGGAGCCGGCUCAACGACAGCGAUUUCUGGUCCGCAGUGCUGGGCCACGAAAUUGGCCAUGACUUGACCCUUGACAGCUUUGGCCGAUUCGUAUCUUAGGUCAAACUCUGACAGAGCCAAGAUCCAUUUUCCAAUUUGUCCUUUCAAAAUCGGCAAUGAUAGCAUGUACUUUACCACAUCAUCUUUGCAUACGACUACGCACUCUGCCGACAAAAGAUAGUGCCUGACCUUGGUGCAUGAGAAAUAAAGACAUAGGUAUAGCCGUUCUACCGGCGCAUAUCUUGUCUCGGCGUCCAGAAGUCUUCUGCUAACAUAAUAUAUCACCUGUUCCUUCCCUUCGAACUCCUGUACCAGCGCCGAUCCGAGAGCCCAUUCAUCGGCCGAUAAAUACAGUCUGAACGGUUUGUCAGCUUGUGGUGGGACCAAUACAAGUGGCGAGAUCAGAUAUUGCUUGAUGUCUUCCAGUGCUUUCCACUGCUCCUCUCCCCACACAAAUUCUUGGUCGGGCUUUAAUUUCAAUAACGGCGUGAAGGCUUGAAUACGUCCGGACAAGUUGGAUAUGAAUCUUCUGAUAAAGUUAACUUUGCCGAUUAGGGAUUGCAACUCAGUUUUGUUCUGUGGGGCUACAACCUUAUUGAUGGCCGCUAUGAUUUUUCCGUUGACUUCUAUCCCACGCUCGUGAACCAUGAAUCCCAGAAACUGCCCGGACGAUACACCGAAUGCACACUUGUUCGGGUUCAUUUUCAACUCAUGCUUCCUUGUGCACUCCAAUACUUCUCAUAGAUCGGCCAGAUGCUCUUGAUGCCCUUUUGAUUUGACUACGACAUCGUCGAUGUAGAUUUCCACCAGGACGCCAAUAAGUUUGUGGAAGAUGUAAUUCAUAGCUUGUUGGUAUGUAGCGCCAGCAUUCUCCGAAGGUCAUUACUACCCACUCGAAUAAACCGAGGUGGCCCGGACACCUGAAGGCCGUUUUCGAGAUGUCUUCUUCGACCAUUAAUAUUUGAUUGUACCCAGCAUUACCGUCCAUAAAACUAAUGACUUUAUGUCCUGCGGCGGCAUCUAUCAAUACAUCGGCUGUCGACAUUGGAUACCCAUCCAUCAGGGUAGCCUGAUUAAGGUUCCCAAAGUCAAUGCAUACACGCAGCUUUCUGUUCUUCUUAUAUACAGGUACAAUAUUAGAGAUCCACUCGGCGUAACGGCACUGCCGAAUAAAUUUCGCUUCAAUCAAUCUCGUAAUUUCGGCCUUUAUAUCAGGUAGAAUUUUAGGAUUGCAUCAUCGUGCGGGCUGCUGAUACGGCCGAUAUCCUGAUUUUAUGGGCAAUCGGUGUUCAACAAUGGACCGGUCUAGGCCAGGCAUCUCAUGGUAUUCCCAAGCAAAACAAUCUUUAAAUUCCUUUAAUAAGUUUGUCAAUUUACACUUAUAUUCUGGAUCCAAGUUAGCACUAAUGUACGUCGGCCUCGGUUUGGUGCCAUCACCUAGAUCUAUCAUCUCUAAUGAAUCGGCCGACGUAAACCUAAGCCCCAGCUUUCCAUCUUCUCGGACGAACUAAUCCAUCUAAUCUGAAUCUUCAGAGCCGACUGCUCGGAUCGGCUGUAGGCCAAAAUUGGACACUUUUAGGAAAUCGGUGUCCCAAGUUCUCCCGGAUAUGCACUUGACAUGUUCGCAGCUCCACUACUGCGUAUUGGCCGUAGCAACACUGUAGGCGGAAUCUGCGGUGACUAUCUCGAUGUUGUCGCCGACCCAUUGUACGAGGCAUUGGUGCAUUGUAGAUGGGACACAGCAAUUCGCGUGUAUCCAAUCGCGUCCGAGCAACAUGUUGUGGGACCCUUUGCCAUUAAUAAUAAAUAAAGUAGUGGGAAGGGUCUUACUGCCGAUGGUGAGGUCGACGCAGAGCGCUCCGCGCACGGAAGACACGUUGCCCUCGAAGUUCUUGGGCAUCAUGUCCAUCUUGGUUAGAUCCUCAUCGCUUUUACCCAGCUUUUGGAACAUGGCGUACGGCAUGAUGUUGACUACAGCGCCUCCAUCUACUAGUAGCCUGGUGACGGUCGACCGUUGACGUGCCCUUUGAGGAAUAGUGCCUUGAGGUGUUGUCAUUUUUCAUCUUCGGGUUUCUCAAAAGUGGCUGUCAUCAGCUCCAAAGCCAAUUGCGCCAUCUGUUCCUCCAUCUUCGUCAUGUCAUACCAAUCAGCGGGAGCCAUGAACUCCAUCGGCAAGAUGAACACCAUGCUGACGUCAGCUGCCGAUUCCUGGUUGCCAUCUUCCUCAUUGUUGUUUCUUUUGGGGCGCCAGACUUGAGACCUGUCAUCCUUCUUAUCCACCAUCUGCCUCUGCUUUUCUUCCUGUUGUUCCCAUUGGCGCAGGCAUUGGAUUCUUCAUUUUUGGGAUUUGGUCAAUCCAUCAGGGCACCACCUGAGGUUCAACGGUUUGGCCGGCGGUCUGGCGUGUUCCCAGUCUGGUUCCCAUCCCAGGGGAUUUUCAUCUGAUACCCAAGCAUUGGCCAUCUCUUCUAGCCGAUCGUGUGCGCUGACUCUGCCUCCUGGUCGGUCGUGCUGGUCAGAUCUGCCCCCCGGCCUAUCAUAUUGCUCGUGUAUGUCCCUUGGCCGAUCAUAUCGGUCAACUCUGCCCCCCAGCUGAUCACGCACUGAAAGGCGCCGAUCCUCUUGCUCGCGCUAGUUUCUACUGAUUGGCUCUGAUCCUCUAUCCUUGUAGCGAGACCUCUUGAACGGGCGAUUAUUGCGAUAUGGACCACUGCACUCCGGGCAAUUAUCGGCUGAUGGCAACCUGAGGUUACUUUCCCAGCAAUGGAUGAAGAACGGGCAUCGCCAAUGAUCUUCGUGUCAUCAUAUUAUUUCUUCGCAAUAUCUCGAAAUUUCCUGCUGCCGUUGAUAUUUAUCAAGCAAAAAUUGGGAAGUAAUAGGUCUGCGAUGCCUUUCCAAUCCUUCACCCUUAUCGUCAACCUGUCGCUUCCCUGUGACAUCUUCCACAGUAGCCUGAUUUUUGGGGUCCACAAUGCCACUCCUUUUAGCCGAUUCUGACGUCAGCACCUUGGUUUGAAGCGCGUUUCUUCCCGUAUCAACCAUGUUAGUGGGAAAAGGAUGCUGAUCAAUCUUCAUUGGCUUUGCUGGCUUUGUCGGGACCUCGAACUUGAGCCUACCUUGCUCGAUGGCCGAUUGUAUCUGCUGACGGAAGAUUUUGCACUCGUUCGUGUCGUGGGACAUGGCAUUGUGCCAUUUGCAAUACUUCAUCUUUUUUAGCUGCUCGGCCGAUGGGAUCAUAUGAUAGGGUGAGAGUUUGAUCUGCCCCUCUUGGAGAAGUAGGUCGAAAAUUUUGUUGGCGUUUGACGUGUCAAAACCGAACGCCUCCGGUUCCUUUUUCCCGAAAGGACACGAUAACGGUUUUUUUCCUUUAACCCACUCUGCUAGGCCGAUUUCUGCUUCCUCCUCACAUUCAGAUCCCUCUAAGUACGCCACCUUCUUCUGAAAAUUUCUUUGCUGAUCAAAGGGGCGUACUUCUUGACCGGACAAUCGAUGGACGAUCUGACUCAGACUCUCGAACGCCUGGGAAGCGUAUUUUUCCUUGAUAUGUGGCAGGAGGCCUUGGAAGGCGAUGUUGGCCAGCUGCGCAUCGGUCAGGACCAGGGUGUAGCAUUUGUUUCUGACUUCCUUGAACCUUUGCACCUAAUUGGUCACGGGUUCGUCGCUCCUUUGCCUGAGGCUGGUUAAAUCUGAGAGCUUCAUCUCAUGGACUCCCGCGUAGAAGUAUUUAUGGAACUACUUUUCCAGGUUGGCCCAAGUAACUAUGGAAUUGGGCGGUAGCGUAGUGAACCACUAGAAAGCCGACCCAGACAGGGACGAUGAGAACAGAUGCACCCGCAGAGCAUCUUGUGUAGCCGCCUCCCCACAUUGGAUGAUGAAUCUAUUUACGUGCUCCACAGCUGAGGUGUCAUCUAGCCCUGAAAACUUGGUGAAGUCGGGAACUUUGUACCGAUGGGGAAACGGCAGUAGAUCAUAGGUAGGCGGGUAUGGCGUUUUGUACGUGUAAGUUUGUACCUUCAGCUUCAACCCGAACUAAUCUUGAAUCACCUCCGCUAUCCUUGCCGUCCAGUCCACUUGCUGCUGAUGGAUUACCAGCUGGGGAAUUGGCACAUGUUGGUGGAUCAGCGGCGGGAUGGCCGGGUGAUGAAUGAAAGUGUGCGGCGGAUUCUGUGGUAACGUGGCCGGCUGAGCGGUUGACAUUUGGUGGCGCAGCGAACCGGCCGUCUCAUCGUAUAGUAUCAUCGGUCCCGCACCUUGGAGCGCCUCAGCAGCGUCUGCCCCCCCUGCCGAUUACUGACGUGGCAGGUUGAUACUGUGGAGGAGUCGGCCGAAUGGCCGAUUGGAAUGGUGCCUGGAUCGGGGGGCCUCCAUAGCCGGUCGAUUGAUCUAGAACGGCCACUGUCGACGGUGCCCCCCAAGGCACUGAAUUUGAUGGCAAUGAUUGUGCGAAGGAAAUCUGAGCAGGUUGAGGUGGCACUUGUGACUAAAAGUAUGGCGCACCGUUAUAUCCUGGAUGCAUUGAAGGCAGUGAAGCAUUGUGCCCUCCAUGUUGAGUUGGCAUCGGCUGAGGAGCCGAGUGAGAUGUGCUGGCCCUGAUAUCCUUGGGAUACGCCAUUGGCUAGGGAGCUGAUAACGACAUUGUAUACCGUGUUGGCCAUCACUGGGGAUUGAUCAAUGAAAGCCUGGUAGACGGACUGCUGAACCAUAUCGGACAUCUUGCCCGAGUCCUCGGCGAUGGUAAUUUGCUGGGGAUUUGGGAAAGGAGCUUUCUUGAUGGUCUCCCCACUCCUGGUACGACUGAAAGAUUGCAGGCAUGUUUUCCGGUAUUGUUCUAUCUGCUUUACCAACUCUUCUUUCUGGUCAUCCUUGAGAUCUGCUUCUGUCACUUCGAUGACAUUGUCCUUGGAGAUUUCGGCAGCUUUCGACAUGUUGGAGGUCGAAGUGGCCCCACCGAGCGUGCUAAAAGUGUGUUGGCGCUAAAAGUCAGCCGAUUGACCUUCAGCGUCGGACACACGACCCGGGAGAAUCUGCUUAGCUCCUGUUCGCAUGGCGUGCCAGCCAAUCUGACCUGUUGAUUGGCAAGGAAGGAAACGUGUCAAAUUCCAGGGGUUCCGAUCGGCUAAGGUUCGGAUCUCAAAAAGCGUAUCAGCAAAUCGGCCGAUUUGCUAUAAAAAGAUAAUUAGCUAUAAUACAGCCGACAAUCAUAUAGCGAUUGUAAAGAAAACUACUAAAGUAAACUAGACAAAGCUACGAAAGCAAUACUUGAAAUAGAUCUAAUCGGCUAUAUGACAAUGGGAAUGAAAAUAACAACAACAAAGCUGACAGUUCAAAUCUCAAGCUGGAUAACUGAAGAUAAAACUAGAACAGAUAAAACCUAUAAUUCUAGUAAAUAUCGAUAACUGGUGAAUAAAUCUAAAUGAAACGACAGCGAUGCGCCCGAAGUUAAAGCUUAGAUAUUACUCGAUAAGCGGAACUUACGAAAUCGGCCGGAGAUCGUGUCGAUGCAGCCCUGCCAACCCGUACGAACUCGUGAAAGAAAAGUAUUGGCGAAGUCGUCGACUUGAAAGUAAAGUGUGAUGAAAAAGUAGAUUUGUUUGUAUUGAUUGAUGUGUUCUUUACAAAUCUCUAAAGGCCACUAUUUAUAGCCAAUUACAACCAAUUUCCUAACCGACUAGGAUAUAUUUCUAAUCUUAAACGAAAAUGAAUAUUUACAAUCACAACUCGAACCGGAGUUGGUUAUUAUACUCUUGCGGGCCAAUCUUUCUUUAUCUUCUUCCUCUGAUCCACUUUAAGCCCAUAUUGGCCCAAUCGCUCCAGCCUUCCAGUCGGCCGAUCUCCAACUCCAUCC
rnacentral:lncRNA from 1 species